CAAUAGCGUAUAUUAUAGUUGUUGCAGUUAAAAAGACUCGUAGUUGGACUUCUGAUGUUGGGAUUCGGUCCACCGCAAGGUGAGCACUGAUGUCCUGAUGUCUUCCUCUCGUAGUUGUUUAGCGCACGUUGAUUGGGUGCCGAAUGAAUAAUGGGACCUUUACUUUGAAAAAUUAGAGUGUUCAAAGCAGGCGAUCGCUUGAAUACAUUAGCAUGGAAUAAUAGAAUUAGGACUUUGGUUCAUUUUGUGGUUUCUAGGACCGAAGUAAUGAUUAAUAGGGACAGUUUGGGGGCAUUAGAUUUAAUUGUCAGAGGUUGAAAUUCUUGGAUUUAUGAAAGACUAACUACUG
rnacentral:rRNA from 1 species